rnacentral:rRNA from 1 species
CUACGGGGGGCACCAGUGAGGAAUAUUGCGCAAUGGACGAAAGUCUGACGCAGCCAUGCCGCGUGCAGGAUGACGGCGCUAUGCGUUGUAAACUGCUUUUAUAUGCCAAGAAACCUUCGGACGUGUCCGAAGCUGACGGUAGCAUAUGAAUAAGCACCGGCUAACUCCGUGCCAGCAGCCGCGGUAAUACGGAGGGUGCAGGCGUUCUCCGGAUUUAUUGGGUUUAAAGGGUCCGUAGGCGGAUCAUUAAGUCAGUGGUGAAAGCCGGCAGCUCAACUGUCGAACUGCCAUUGAUACUGGUGAUCUUGAAUACGGUUGAAGUUGGCGGAAUAGGUCAUGUAGCGGUGAAAUGCUUAGAUAUGACCUAGAACACCGAUUGCGAAGGCAGCCAACUAAGCCGUUAUUGACGCUGAGGGACGAAAGCGUGGGGAGCGAACAGGAUUAGAUACCCUUGUAGUC